UGCAGAUGUUGGGGGGGUCGAUGCACGCCCCAAUGAAGCGGGUCAGGUGGUUGAACUGGAUGUCUCGCAUCUGCAGGCAAGGUGAAGACUCCAGGAUGAGGCAUGGUGCACCGCACGGAGUGUAGGACAUGGAUAAGGGACAAGGUGAGCCGGCUGCCUGCUGCCUUGUGGUACCGCUCAGGACUUCCAAACUGCAGCUCAUCCCAGCGGA